UACGUAGGGGGCAAGCGUUGUCCGGAAUCAUUGGGCGUAAAGAGCGUGUAGGCGGUCCGGUAAGUCCGCUGUGAAAGUCGGGGGCUCAACCCUCGAAUGCCGGUGGAUACUGUCGGGCUCGAGUACGGAAGAGGCGAGUGGAAUUCCUGGUGUAGCGGUGAAAUGCGCAGAUAUCGGGAGGAACACCAAUGGCGAAGGCAGCUCGCUGGGACGGUACUGACGCUGAGACGCGAAAACGUGGGGAGCAAACAGGG
rnacentral:rRNA from 1 species